rnacentral:rRNA from 1 species
AGCCUUAAGAAGUCAUUUAAGGUGAAACCUGCCCAGUGCAAUCCCGUAAACGGCCGCAGUACCUUGACUGUGCUAAGGUAGCAUAAUAAUUUGUCCUUUAAAUGGGGUCUAGUAUGAAUGGGAUUAUAGGGUGAGACUGUCUCUACUUUACUAACUUGAAUUUACUUAUUAGGUGAAAAUGCCUAAAAUUUGAUGAAAGACGAGAAGACCCUAGGAGUUUUUACUAAAAAGUUAAUCUUGACUUUUCGUUUUCGUUGGGGCGACGUGGGAACAAAUAAAACUUCCUUAUAAAGAUAAACCGACUAUGUAUACUUAAUUAAACUACCCUAGGGAUAACAGCGUAAUUCUUUUUGAGCUUGCGACCUCGAUGUUGGACUAGGAAUUUAGUAGGCUAGCCGCCUAUUUACAUUGUUCUGUUCGAACUACUCUUCC